AAAUUUGAAAGCUUGAAAAGCAUGUAAUUUCGAAACGAUGUAAAACAAUUCCGGCACGUAAUUUUAAACUUUACAAUUAUGCUUGAUGCUGUCAAUGACAGCUCAAUAUUAUUAUUGUGUUUCGCGAGAGAAGCGGAAGUGUUUAUCUGAUAAUUGCGUUGAGUUUUGUUGUUAAAAGCUAAACAAUAUGUGAAAAAGCCGUUUUGAAGUUUGAAAAUGAUUAAUAAUUACACCAACUGCAGGCUUCCCGUUGUUGCCGGAAGUCUAUGAAGGAAGCCGGAACUGUUGUGCAUUUGGUGACUCCCAGAAAUGUUUCGAGAAUAAUUCUGGCGGUAUCACGUUAAAUAAAACAGAACAGGUAGGUUUUUCGGUACAAUAAAAAAUCCUAAUCUGUAACAAUAUUUUGCAGAGCCAGCUAAAAUCAGAUUUCCUUCGAUAUUUCAGUAAUGGAAGGAACAUAUUAUGAAAAUACCUGCUGGAUUAAAGUUCCUGCUAUCCGGGAAACUUAACGCCCCAACAUUCCGGCCGGAAUAGUCUUCCCUGGGACGCUUCUGCUCCUGGGUUCUUGUUCCGUUUGUUAUGGAUCGCCAAGAAGGUACGACCGUGGAAUAAGAUCCCGUCACGGGCCAUAAAAUGGCAGCAAACGGGAAUCGGACUGGGUUUUAGAUGGGUUUUUAUGAUUUCCUUGCGUGCUGGCCCACAUUUUCCACGACUACGGCUUUUCCAAACAAAAAUUCUAGCUAAACAAAUCAUUAAGAAAAUGUAGAUUUCACAAAAAUUUACCUGUCAAAAUUUUAGAAAAACAAAAAUUGUGCACGUAGCCAUGAGAUCAGUAAUUUCCCAGAAAAAAUCCUAAAAGCUACACGCUAAUGAAAAAGAAGACAUUGAAUUCAGUGUUUAUCAUCAGUUUUAUCAAUUUAAAACCUCGGAUUCACCUGAUUCUCUCACAACGUGUAUAUUUUGUUUUGACUUUUUAGAGUGGUGUGUUAGUGGUAGUGGCCGCCUACCAACCUGUUGCGAUCGAUGGAGUUUUUUUUGCCGUUUUAGUUGUCGCCGGGAGAAAAGUCAGACCGGAUUUCGUCCAUCCGGCAGUGGAAGCAGGCAUGCUACCAAGACCUCGGAAUGCAAGCCGGCCAAAGUGAGUACCCGAAGGAAUUUGGCGUUUUUUCUCGUUCUUAUUGGUGGAUAAACGUUGGCCUCGCAGCUUGACCACCUCGGGGGAGGAGCGGGAGCAGCCGGUACCAGCGGAACCGGUGCCGCCGGAGGACAGCUCAACCGAUCCGGGUAUCGGCUCGAUCGAAGUUGUCGAAAAUCUGCGGCAUAUCGUCCGUCAUCAGCGAGCUACAGUUCGAGGUGGACGAAGAUGAUGGGGCACUCGGGGGCCAGCAGAAUUAUCUGCCACCGCACGCGUGCCGUUACUGCGGCAUUCAUUAGCCGAGUACGGUCGAGUUGUGCAACAUCUGCAAGAUGUGGUUCUGCAAUGGGUGCGGCAACACGUCCGGUCGCAUAUCAUGAACCAUCUGGUGCACGCCAAGCACCCGGGAGGUUACGCUGCACGGCGACGGGCCGCUGGGAGAGACCACGACUAGGGAAACCAGGAAAGGACCCCAGAUCACCCGCUGUCCUCUCUUGUCAUCGUAUGUGGAGCAGCCUCUUCUUGGGGAUCUCCGCUAAAACGUAGCAACUUGUCCUCGCUGAACGUGACAUGCACGAUAAGAUCGCAGCGGCAAUCUUCGCCAUCGAUUCAAGCACAAUCUUGCCCGGAGUGUUGGCGAUUGAGAUCUUUGCGUUCUUGAUACGCCUCGGCUGAUGCACACCGGAAUUUUGGUCCAGCAAUGAUUUCGCGACGAGUGACGAGUGUGCACCAGAAUGUCAUGCUUGAAAUGCGUGAAAUCCAGCGUUGUGAGUCCAAUCAAGAACCCCCACUUUGCUUUACUUCGAGACAGUUACAAAGCUUGAGCUUGAGCUUCAACCAGAGUUGUGUCUUCAGAAUGCUGCACAGAAUAGUCACAUGAUCACAACUACUGUAGACCUGUACAGAGACAAGCUGAAGUCACGGGCAAGUCUAACUUUUUAACAGUCCCAUUUUGUUACUCCGUUGAAUUUAGAAUCUGAUACAAACUUUCGAACUUUCAAGUUUGAAAAUUACAUCAGAUUCUAGAUUCAACGGGGUAAAAAAAUUUUGGUUUGGGUAAAUUUACGUAGAUUUCAUCGGAAAUUUACAUGUUUUCAUGACACUUUUUGUUCGAAACGUUUACAUCGGAUGGCAUUUAAAUUUCAGUUGAAAGUAAUGUAAAUUCGCAUCUUUAAUGACGUGCACUUUUGGUACAUCAUAAAUGAUGUAAAUUUACCGGAUUAUUUUUUUCUGUGUAGACUUUAUAGCUGUCGGCCACCAUUGCUAGUACCAACCACUAGUGUCUUCCUUUUAUCUACAAGAACUUCGCCGCCCUGGGCUCCGAACCCGAGCAUGGGUAAAUAACAAGGGAAAUGCGUAAUAAUACCUUUCUCUGGUAUCAAUACCAAAUUUUGGUAUUCCUGGACCCUUUAAAAUUUGUCUUGAGGAUUAUGCAAGAGCAAAAUGUGGUAUCAUACCAAUUUAAGGUAUUGUUUUGAUAUUGCAAAAUUGCAGAAUUUGUCAAUGGUCGAACACCACAUAUUGGUAUUCUUUUGGUAUUACAGUGUUUUAUCAAAUUCCUCUGAAACUAUGGGAAAAUUUUGACCAAUUUUGACAAAAUAAUUAAUUUUGCGCUAAAAUUAUGUCUCAAAGCAAAUGCUUUAAUUGAAAACCGGAAAUUUCAAACUUGAUUUUAAACAUUUUUGAUAUACCCCCUAAAGAAAUGACUUGAAAUUGUGGAAAAUUUUCUAAGUCAGGAUGGCACAUUUUGGUAUUAUUUUGGUAUUAAAGUGUUUUAUCAAAUUUCUCUGAAACUAUGGGAAAAUUUUGACCAAUUUUGACAAAAUAAUUAAUUUUGCACUAAAAUGAUGUCUCAAAGUGAAUGCUUUCAUUGAAAACCGGAAAUUUCAAACUUGAUUUUAAACAUUUUUGAUAUACCCCCUAAAGAAAUUACUUGAAAUUGUUGAAAAUUUUCUAAGUCAGGAUGGCACAUUUUGGUAUUAUUUUGGUAUUGAAAGGUUUUUGGGAUUUUUUUUACCAAUUUGGACAAGAUAAUAAAUUUUGCGCUAAAAUGACUUGAAAAAAAAACCAAAUACUUUGAAAAACGAGUCAAUCGAAAGAUUAUUGAAUUUUGGUGAAUUUCAAUCCAGUUUUAUUUUAAUAACACUUAUUUUUCAAUCUUGUUAUUUUUCAGAAUCUUCAAGAACUUCAUGCACAGGCCGUUCAUCAAUGACAAAUGCAUUCGGUGUGUUGAAGAAUAUCACUAAGAACAACAUGGAAUCAUCAGGUGAGUAGAUUUGGCUGUUGCAUAUGGAUCAUUUCCGUUUUUUCACUAACUGCAACUGCUGCACUAAAAAUGGUAUGAAAAUACCAAAUUUUGGUAUUACUUGUGCAAAUAUCAGCGACCAAAAUGUGAUCUUGGUUGCCCAGUAAUAGAUGGUAAAAUACCAUCAAAUCAUACCAAA